rnacentral:rRNA from 1 species
UACGGGAGGCAGCAGUGGGGAAUAUUGCACAAUGGGCGCAAGCCUGAUGCAGCCAUGCCGCGUGUAUGAAGAAGGCCUUCGGGUUGUAAAGUACUUUCAGUCGUGAGGAAGGUGUUAAGGUUAAUAACCUUAGCAAUUGACGUUAGCGACAGAAGAAGCACCGGCUAACUCCGUGCCAGCAGCCGCGGUAAUACGGAGGGUGCGAGCGUUAAUCGGAACUACUGGGCGUAAAGGGCACGCAGGCGGUUAAUUAAGUUGGAUGUGAAAUCCCCGGGCUUAACCUGGGAAUGGCAUUCAAGACUGGUUAGCUAGAGUCUUGUAGAGGGGGUAGAAUUCCAUGUGUAGCGGUGAAAUGCGUAGAGAUGUGGAGGAAUACCGGUGGCGAAGGCGGCCCCUGGACAAAGACUGACGCUCAUGUGCGAAAGCGUGGGGAGCAAACAGGGAUUAGAUACC